rnacentral:rRNA from 1 species
GAUGAACGCUAGCGGGAGGCUUAACACAUGCAAGUCGAGGGGCAGCACGAUGUAGCAAUACUUUGGUGGCGACCGGCGCACGGGUGAGUAACACGUAUGCAACCUACCUGUAAGAGGGGAAUAACCCGGAGAAAUUCGGACUAAUACCGCAUAAUACUGAUUAUCUGCAUGGAUUGAUCAGUUAAACAUUUAUGGCUUACAGAUGGGCAUGCGUAUGAUUAGAUAGUUGGUAGGGUAACGGCCUACCAAGUCAACGAUCAUUAGGGGUUCUGAGAGGAAGGUCCCCCACACUGGUACUGAGACACGGACCAGACUCCUACGGGAGGCAGCAGUGAGGAAUAUUGGUCAAUGGGCGAGAGCCUGAACCAGCCAAGUCGCGUGAAGGAAGAAGGUUCUAUGGAUUGUAAACUUCUUUUGUAAGGGAAUAAAAAGAGUUACGUGUAACUUAUUGUAUGUACUUUACGAAUAAGGAUCGGCUAACUCCGUG